rnacentral:rRNA from 1 species
UACGUAGGGCGCGAGCGUUGUCCGGAAUUAUUGGGCGUAAAGAGCUCGUAGGCGGCCUGUCGCGUCUGCUGUGAAAUCCCGGGGCUUAACCCCGGGCGUGCAGUGGAUACGGGCAGGCUGGAGUUCGGUAGGGGAGACUGGAAUUCCUGGUGUAGCGGUGAAAUGCGCAGAUAUCAGGAGGAACACCGGUGGCGAAGGCGGGUCUCUGGGCCGAUACUGACGCUGAGGAGCGAAAGCGUGGGGAGCGAACAGG